UUGUGAGCUGUUUGUAAAAAAAUAAAUAAAUUUAAUAUAAAGUUGGGAACCAUGAAACUGACAAAUGAAAAUUAAUAUUCUUGGAAGAUGAAUUUAAAAAAAUAUUUUUAUUUGAAAUGAAUACUCUAGACACUCGUUUUUCAGCCCCGGUUGAAUCGAAUUAAAAAAUAAGUUUCUUUCGCUUCUUGAAAAUUUAGAGUGCAAUAUCGGUUCAAGACUUUUGAAUUAUUGGAUUAAAAUCGUUUGAAGUCCAAUGCAACUAAAAAAAUCUUUUUUUCAGAUACGUCUGGUCGUUGGAUAGGAAACCAGCGGUGUGGGUGCUCUUAUUGUGAUCACCAUGGCGUGUCUGAACGGCAUACGAUGCUAAUAGAACUGGCGGGCAAUAGAUUUCAUAAGACAAUAUGGCAUUUUUUACUUGCAAGUAAAACAGACACAGAGUUAUGUCUUGGAUGAGUUAUUCGGCAACAUCCUCUGGAUAAAAUUUGCCUCUUAGGCGGAACUGUUACCCCUCGAAUCGGUAUAUUGCAAUCGAAAGAAGCAAACUUCACGUAGGCCAAUUGUCUUAACAACUUAAUUGAAGAGCUGUUUGCCGCUGAACAUGGUCAGAGCGCGCUCAGCGAGAUCAGAAUAAAAUGAAUGAAUGCAAAACCUUACAAAAUAUGAAAAGUAGUGGAUGAGAGUAGUCGCUGCAGUACUGAAUUUAACCAACAUAUUUUUUAUUACAUCUUGAAAGAGGCAGACUAACAAAACUGAAAAAGUUACAUGAAAGACUUAAACUUGAAUAAAAUGGAAAACCUUUUUUUUUUGGCAACGGAUGAUUCGCAAAAAGACUACAAAAGCAUCCCGAAACUAUUCCAGCCAGAUCGUUGUUUCAUCAAAGAAACCUAAAAUCCAAUAUUCGGCUGUUUUGUCGGAAAAGCGUUUUGGAAAACUACGCAAUUGGAAAAUAUUCCACCCGAGCAAUAAUUGGAGAUUAAACAAUGAAUGCUCAAUGCAUUUAUCCAGGAGCAAGAAAAAUCCGUUCGCAAUGCCAUUGCGCAGCUUAUUGGUGUUUCGAUUCAUUAUGAAAAGAAGGGAUAAUGGAUCCAAGAGGUCUUGCAAUUUGUAUACAGCAAUUGCAGUUCGGUUGAUCGAAAACAAAGUGAAUUGGGAUCAUCGAUCUUUGCUCAAUAACCGAUGUAGCACCAGAACAAUUUGUCGCUCUCAUGAAAUCUAUUAUGGUGAUAUUUUGACCGCUGCUUUAACUGCUACCAAAACCAGUGGAAAUAUGGCUACUCUUCUAACAAUCAAAGUGGAGAUGAAUCUAUCAGCAGUAUGGAGAAAAUCCAAAGGCAACUAAAUGAACAACAGCAUACAAUCUUUGAGAUAAAUGCUGCUAGCUGAAUAAAAUGCAAAAUUCGUUGGAGAAAUUGCAUCACUUCAACAAGAAAACGAUAAGCUAGAAGGCGAAAAGAAUUUUCUCAAAUCGAAAUUAGAUCAAAUGAAGGCUGAGUUCCAUUUGGACAUAAUCAAAGCCCUGGAAGGUAAAAAUGCUGAAAUAAAACGUCUGCAGACUGUUAGUAUGGGCCCUCGAACUAAGUGUGAUGAAGGGCAUAGAAAAUGUGCUAUUGCGGGUAAAUUUGAAGUG